AACGAACGCUGGCGGCAUGCCUAACACAUGCAAGUCGAACGAGACCUUCGGGUCUAGUGGCGCACGGGUGCGUAACGCGUGGGAACCUGCCCUUAGGUUCGGAAUAACUCCCCGAAAGGGGUGCUAAUACCGGAUAAUGUCUUCGGACCAAAGAUUUAUCGCCUUUGGAUGGGCCCGCGUUGGAUUAGCUAGUUGGUAGGGUAAAAGCCUACCAAGGCGACGAUCCAUAGCUGGUCUGAGAGGAUGAUCAGCCACACUGGGACUGAGACACGGCCCAGACUCCUACGGGAGGCAGCAGUGGGGAAUACUAGACGAUGGGCGCAGGCCUGAUCCAGCAAUGCCGCGUGAGUGAUGAAGGCCUUAGGGUUGUAAAGCUCUUUUACCCGGGGUGAUAAUGACAGUACUGGGAAAAUAAGCACCGGCUAACUCCGUG
rnacentral:rRNA from 1 species